UUACAUGGGCGUUGCCGGCGUGCCGGCGCUAACACUCUGCACCCUCGUUGAGCUCUGGCAACGUUACUCACCAGCAGGAACACUAUGAGUAAGGUCUAGUGUUAUUGUCUGCUGUCUUCUGUAAGGUGGAGGUACUAACGCAGCAGUUGAAAUAGAAAAUCUUUAGGCUCAUUAGAUUAGAUACCGUAAAACUACCCAAUUAUAGUCAAAUACUGCAACUAUGGUCCACAAGUUCAAAAGGAAAUUAAGUAUCUAUACCAAUAUUCCUUUUGGUUCACUCCUAGUUUUACCUUCCAUUUAUAAACAUACUUUGCCUUAGAACUACAAAAAUAUAGUAAAAUACACACCUGAACGAGAAAAAUUUAGUUUAUUUGUGGACCAUAGUUGGGAGCUUUGGACUAUAGUUGGGUGGUUUUACGCUAAUAUGACUAAUAUCUACACUGGAAAUUUGUCUCAAUUUCCAACGGGUGAAAUUCCAAGGUCGCAUUGUUGGUCUUCAUUAAAGUCAGUAUUUUCCACACUUGAUUUGAAUAUCCUAUUUGCAGUCACAAAAUUGUUUGCAUUAUUUGGAUAAUUUAAGAAUAUUUAGAUAGACUUAAAUGUAGUUGCACUGAUACUUUCCUUACUUACUAGGUAGUAAGUUUUAUUUCGUUUAUUAUGCCUGGGUUGAAUGAGUUAAUUGGUGUAUCCCCAAUUUUUUCCCUGCCCCACGUCACCACCGCCAUACAUGAAGGCGGGGACAGAUGGAGAAAAUUCAUAUGAAUGCACCUAUUCCCAUCUGUGCUCGGCGGGGUCAAAUGGGAAUUAACUAGUUAUUUUUAGUAAUAGUAAUAAAAUCAUUUAGUUAAUAUAUUAUAAGACUAGUCUACAGUCGAUUAAAUGCAAUCGUUGCUGCUGUUGCAAUAAUUGCGACUUACACGAGUUGAAUAGCAAAUCUAUAAAUGACAUGAUAAUAAAUUCGAAAUCAAUUAAGUGUAUGUCCUUCACGUGUGUGUAUAUUAUUACGACUUGGUUUAAAAUAAAAAGUGUUAAAUUCGUUAAGGUACUGAAUUGGUUUUGACUUUUUGACAUACCUUAACCUUAUAUAUAUAUAUAGUUAUACCUAUUUGAAAAAGCCGUUAGGGUUUUACAUAUUGUUUUUUUUUUACUUUAUCGAAGGGUAAACGACCCAAAGAUUGGCACUAAAAAUACCUUAGGGGGCGUCUAUUAAUUACGUGAGGUGUUCAGGGUGGGAGGGCGUCUCGGUAAAUAUCACGUAUUUUUUUCUUGCAAAAAGCAGGGUAAAGAUGCGAGAAUAUGACAUUUAAAUAUGUUUAUAAACAGAACAAUGGCGAAAUCUGAUACAAUGGGUCAUUAUUGGGGAUGUGCCGACAUUAGGAUAAUUUAUCUGCCAUUUGAAGAUGCACAGCUCAAGCCUCAAGCAAUUUUAUUUCUAGCAAACUGAUGGCAGAUAUUUUCUUAUGAAAUUAAAUAUUAGUACAAUGGAUCUCUUUUUGUUUUUAUUUUUAAAUAAAUCUUGGGAUUAGUUGUCAAGCGGACCCCAGGCUCUCAUGAGCCGCGGCAAAAUGCCGGGACAACGAGAGGAAGAAGAGAAGAACCCUUUCAACGCAAAGGACGGCCAAAAGUGGUAAGUUGGCAAACUUGUGCCUACAGCCUAAACAACUUCCGAAAAAUAACGAGGAAUGGAGGUGAAGAGCCAAUACACACUAACACUGGAGCUGCUGCGCCUGUUUCUAACGCUGCCCUGCUAAAAAGCAGAACUUGAAAUAAAAAUUGAAUGCAAACAUGUACCUUAUUCUUAGUUCCAUUUUCAAGCACACGUUUUUGAGAUGUCUUUAGAAAUCCUGUGAUUUUGAAACAGCUUUAAUUUCAACUGCAGAUUGUACUACUUACAUUAUAUACUUCAAGUACCCGU